ensembl:snRNA U6 U6 spliceosomal RNA
AUGCUCACUUUGGCAGCACAUAUACUAAAAUUGGAAUGAAACAGAGAAGAUUAGCAUGGCCCCUACACAGGGAUGACAUGCAAUUCCACAAAAGAUUAUAUGUUUCU